GGGGAAUAUUGCGCAAUGGGGGCGACCCUGACGCAGCCAUGCCGCGUGAAUGAAGAAGGCCUUCGGGUUGUAAAGUUCUUUCGGUAGCGAGGAAGGCACUUAGUUUAAUAAACUAGGUGAUUGACGUUAACUACAGAAGAAGCACCGGCUAACUCCGUGCCAGCAGCCGCGGUAAUACGGAGGGUGCGAGCGUUAAUCGGAAUAACUGGGCGUAAAGGGCACGCAGGCGGUGACUUAAGUGAGGUGUGAAAGCCCCGGGCUUAACCUGGGAAUUGCAUUUCAUACUGGGUCGCUAGAGUACUUUAGGGAGGGGUAGAAUUCCACGUGUAGCGGUGAAAUGCGUAGAGAUGUGGAGGAAUACCGAAGGCGAAGGCAGCCCCUUGGGAAUGUACUGACGCUCAUGUGCGAAAGCGUGGGGAGCAAACAGGAUUAGAUACCCUGGUAGUCCACGCUGUAAACGAUGUCGAUUUGGGGGUUGAACUUUGAGUUUGGCACCCGUAGCUAACGUGAUAAAUCGACCGCCUGGGGAGUACGGCCGCAAGGUUA
rnacentral:rRNA from 1 species